UCUAAGUAUCUCAUAUAAGUUAGGGAUCAAAACAUGGCGUUCAGCAGACUCAACGGCCAGAUGGAAGCCAAGGCAGCCGCGGUUUUGUUCAUUGUGCUCCUUGGAUGUUCCAUGCUCAUGUUGGUCUCCUCAACUGAUGGUGAGAUCGGCAGAUCAGGUUGUCCUCGUCUUUCGGAUGGCGAUGCCAUAGGCAAAGACGACACCCCGUUCCCAAAAAUGUGCAUAGGGAGGAGGCACGGCCCUGAGAACGUCGAAUUCUGUUGUGCAACAUUGCCAGGACUACCUUGCUGGCGAACGCAGGAAGAGUGCCUCCACGUUUGCCCAUAGGUCUCAUCGUUGUGAUUAAUCAACGUAGUGGGCCAAGCUUUGAUGUUUCUGUCCAUCGGAAAAAUUAGAAUGAAGGGAAAUGAAUAAUAUUUUUUUCAUGGGGAGGAAACAAAUUGUCAUGCAUGGAUAUGUAUACAGAGAUGGACCGGCUCUGCAUCUGGGAAAUUAAUAAUUUGUAAA